CUCUGUGUCAAGUACACUAUUUUCUGGAAUGUCAAAAAAAAAAAAAGGAUGCUUUUGCCACCACUGAUCACUGUGUACCACUGAAAGAACAAUCCUUUGACGGUGUGAAGGGACCGCCAUUUCUGAAUCCACACCCCAUCCUACGUUCCUGCCCCAACAACGGCGGGUUGACGUCUUGCAACGUCCUAGUUGCCAUGGCUACAGAUGCACGCAAAAACGGACCGCAAUCCCUGCCCUCCUGGAGCGCGCAGUCCAGGGGCGGAGACAGACAGCAAAAUCGCGAGGAGACUAUGUACUGUGCGAGAAGGUGAGAAGGAAACAGGCGUGGAGAGGUGACAUAACGGGCCCAGGAACUCCCAGGCUGCAGUGGUUGGAAUGAACCCAGGCCCGUGUGGCUGCAAAAUUCUUUCACCUACACCGCCCGCCACGAAGCCUCACCUGAAAACUUCCAUGACUUACACGGGACCUAAAUUUGCUGUUUUCUGAAAAAUGCUUGCAAACAUAAAAAACAAUGGAUAGUUUACAUUGAGGACACGUCUGAAAAUGAAAGGACAGACCCAAAGAGGCACAUGAGACUGAGGCUGCUGCUAAUUUUCCGCUAGCCAAGUAGGAGCUGCACAGCCCUAAUGAUGGACUCCUUCUGAAUUGAAUUAAUGAAUUUUGUGACUCAUUAUUAUUCUUUUAAAAAAGAAGCACGAGGAAGAACAAACGAACCAUCCUGACUGCCUCACCCCCUUUUCCUCUCUUGGCUACUCUCUUGUCACAUGUCCUUAUGAUGUUUGAAUUAAUUUAAAUAAUUUGAAGAAUUCAAAAUCAAUCCAUUGAUAAAUAUUUUUAUGCACCUAUUAUGUGCAAAGUGCCUACAAAGAGUCAAGUAACCUUGGGAAUUCUGGAGGGAUAUGUAUAUCACGUGAUGGUUCAUUAGGAACUUCCAUAUUCAGCUCAUC